rnacentral:rRNA from 1 species
AGCAGCCGCGGUAAUUCCAGCUCCAAUAGCGUAUAUUAAAGUUGUUGCAGUUAAAAAGCUCGUAGUUGAAUUUCGGGAUCAAAUUGUCGGUCGUGCCUCGGUACGAACUGGUAUUAUUGGUUCCUACCUUCUGAAGAACCGCGAUGUCAUUAAUUUGGUGUCGUGGGGAAUCAGGACUGUUACUUUGAAAAAAUUAGAGUGUUUAAAGCAAGCUCGCGCUUGAAUACAUUAGCAUGGAAUAAUGAAAUAGGACGUUUGAUUCUAUUUUGUUGGUUUCUAGGAUCGACGUAAUGAUUAAUAGGGAUAGUUGGGGGCAUUAGUAUUCAAUUGUCAGAGGUGAAAUUCUUGGAUUUAUUGAAGACUAACUACUGCGAAAAGCAUUUGCCAAGGAUGUUUUCAUUAAUCAAGAACGAAAGUUAGGGGAUCGAAGACGAUCAGAUACCGUCGUAGUCUUAACCGUAAACUAUGCCGACUAGGGAUCGGAUGAUGUUAAUUUUUAAUG